GGCACUGUAGCUCAGUUGGUAGAGCACAUGCUUAACACUGGAUAGUUUCAGAUCGCAUGUUGUCGUCGGUUCGAGCCCGGCCAGAGUCA
rfam:Puccinia sorghi strain RO10H11247 Scaffold_997, whole genome shotgun sequence.